CCUACGGGAGGCAGCAGUGAGGAAUAUUGGUCAAUGGGCGCGAGCCUGAACCAGCCAAGUAGCGUGAGGGAGGACGGCCCUACGGGUUGUAAACCUCUUUUGCCGGGGAGCAAAGGGCGCCACGUGUGGCGUCACUGAGAGUACCCGGAGAAAAAGCAUCGGCUAACUCCGUGCCAGCAGCGGCGGUAAUACGGAGGAUGGGAGCGUUAUCCGGAUUUAUUGGGUUUAAAGGGUGCGUAGGUGGGUCGUUAAGCCAGUGGUAAAAUUGAGGGGCUCAACACCUUCCCGCCAUUGAAACUGGCGUUCUUGAGUGGAAGAGAAGUAUGCGGAAUGCGUGGUGUAGCGGUGAAAUGCAUAGAUAUCACGCAGAACCCCGAUUGCGAAGGCAGCAUGCCGGCUUCCGACUGACGCUGAAGCACGAAAGCGUGGGGAUCGAACAGGAUUAGAUACCCGUGUAGUC
rnacentral:rRNA from 1 species